UUAUCACUGUCCAACAGUGAUCAGAGCAACAAGGUGGUGGCCAUAACUUCAUAAAAGAAAAAAUAAAAGCCUAAUUGGUUUAUAAAUUAUUAAAGCCUAAAGACUUAGAUUUUAGUCUAAAGGUUCUUCUACUAUUUUAUACGAAGUGAUAGCCUCUACCUCUAAUUCAAGAAAUUAUCUUAAUUUUUUAGUAGGUACUAGACUCCACACAGACUGCAUA
rnacentral:lncRNA from 1 species